rnacentral:rRNA from 1 species
AUACAGAGGUUGCAAACGUUGUUCGGAAUUACUGGGCAUAAAGCGCACGUAGGCGGUCAGGGAAGUGUGAAGUGAAAUCCCACGGCUCACCCGUGGAACUGCUUUGCAUACUGAUUGACUAGAGAAAGGUAGGGGAGAGCAGAACUCUUGGAGGAGCGGUGAAAUGCGUAGAUAUCAAGAGGAAUACCAGUGGCGAAGGCGGCUCUCUGGUCCUUUACUGACGCUGAGGUGCGAAAGCUAGGGUAGCGAACGGGAUUAGAUACCCUAGUAGUCC